rnacentral:rRNA from 1 species
CACGUAGGGUGCGAGCGUUGUCCGGAAUUAUUGGGCGUAAAGAGCUCGUAGGCGGUGUGUCGCGUCGGCCGUGAAAACCUGUAGCUUAACUGUGGGCUUGCGGUCGAUACGGGCAUCACUGGAGUUCGGCAGGGGAGACUGGAAUUCCUGGUGUAGCGGUGAAAUGCGCAGAUAUCAGGAGGAACACCGGUGGCGAAGGCGGGUCUCUGGGCCAUUACUGACGCUGAGGAGCGAAAGCGUGGGGAGCGAACAGG